rnacentral:rRNA from 1 species
UGCAGUCGAGCGAAUGGAUUGAGAGCUUGCUCUCAAGAAGUUAGCGGCGGACGGGUGAGUAACACGUGGGUAACCUGCCCAUAAGACUGGGAUAACUCCGGGAAACCGGGGCUAAUACCGGAUAACAUUUUGAACUGCAUGGUUCGAAAUUGAAAGGCGGCUUCGGCUGUCACUUAUGGAUGGACCCGCGUCGCAUUAGCUAGUUGGUGAGGUAACGGCUCACCAAGGCAACGAUGCGUAGCCGACCUGAGAGGGUGAUCGGCCACACUGGGACUGAGACACGGCCCAGACUCCUACGGGAGGCAGCAGUAGGGAAUCUUCCGCAAUGGACGAAAGUCUGACGGAGCAACGCCGCGUGAGUGAUGAAGGCUUUCGGGUCGUAAAACUCUGUUGUUAGGGAAGAACAAGUGCUAGUUGAAUAAGCUGGCACCUUGACGGUACCUAACCAGAAAGCCACGGCUAACUACGUGCCAGCAGCCGCGGUAAUACGUAGGUGGCAAGCGUUAUCCGGAAUUAUUGGGCGUAAAGCGCGCGCAGGUGGUUUCUUAAGUCUGAUGUGAAAGCCCACGGCUCAACCGUGGAGGGUCAUUGGAAACUGGGAGACUUGAGUGCAGAAGAGGAAAGUGGAAUUCCAUGUGUAGCGGUGAAAUGCGUAGAGAUAUGGAGGAACACCAGUGGCGAAGGCGACUUUCUGGUCUGUAACUGACACUGAGGCGCGAAAGCGUGGGGAG